ACUCAAAUGAAUUGACGGGGACCCGCACAAGCGGUGGAGCGUGUUGUUUAAUUCGAUGGUAAACGAAGAACCUUACCAGGACUUGACAUCCUACUAAUCCCUUCGAAAGUAGGGAGUGCCUUCGGGCCGUAGAGACAGGUGCUGCAUGGCCGUCGUCAGCUCGUGUCGUGAGAUGUUAGGUUAAGUCCUUCAACGAGCGCAACCCUUUUAGUUAGUUGGAUUUCUCUAGCUAGACUGCCCCGGUAACGGGGAGGAAGGAGGGGAUGAUGUCAGGUCAGUAUUGCCCUUACGUCCUGGGCUACAAACACGCUACAAUGGCCGGUACAGAGGGCAGCCAAGUCGCAAGACGGAGCAAAUCCCAUCAAAGCCGGUCUCAGUUCGGAUUGUAGGCUGAAACUCGCCUGCAUGAAGCUGGAAUCGCUAGUAACGGUAGGUCAGCUAUACUACCGUGAAUACGUUCCCGGGUCUUGUACACACCGCCCGU
rnacentral:rRNA from 1 species